UACAGAGGGGGCAAGCGUUGUUCGGAAUUACUGGGCGUAAAGGGCGCGUAGGUGGCCUUCUAAGUUGAACGUGAAAUCCCUGGGCUCAACCCAGGAACUGCGUCCAAGACUGGGAGGCUUGAAUUCGGGAGAGGAAUGCGGAAUUCCAGGUGUAGCGGUGAAAUGCGUAGAUAUCUGGAGGAACACCAGAGGCGAAGGCGGCUACCUGGACAAUUGCUGACGCUCAGGCACGAAAGCGUGGGGAGCAAAAGGG
rnacentral:rRNA from 1 species